UGGACAGAUUGAAAGAACGAUCGAGAAAGGCACACAUUGAGAAAAGGGAAAAAGAAAAAGUGGACAGUCGGACGGACUAGUCAAACAGUUCAAAGUUGAGGGCUGCACCCAAUGAGUACAUCAGCAAAGUGCAAAAAGCAUGA
ensembl:ncRNA K11C4.10 ncRNA